rnacentral:rRNA from 1 species
CACGCCCUAAACGAUGUCAACUAGGUGUUGGGAGGGUAAAACCUUUUAGUACCGGAGCUAACGCGUGAAGUUGACCGCCUGGGGAGUACGGCCGCAAGGUUAAAACUCAAAGGAAUUGACGGGGACCCGCACAAGCGGUGGAUGAUGUGGAUUAAUUCGAUGCAACGCGAAAAACCUUACCUACCCUUGACAUGUCAGGAACUGGCCAGAGAUGGCUUGGUGCUCGAAAGAGAACCUGAACACAGGUGC